rnacentral:rRNA from 1 species
CAGUAACGGCGAGUGAAGCGGCAACAGCUCAAAUUUGAAAUCUGGCUCUUUUAGGGCCCGAGUUGUAAUUUGUAGAGGAUGCUUCGGCGUCGGCUCCGGUCUAAGUUCCUUGGAACAGGACGUCACAGAGGGUGAGAAUCCCGUAUGUGAUCGGUUGCCUUUGCCAUGUGAAGCCCCUUCGACGAGUCGAGUUGUUUGGGAAUGCAGCUCUAAAUGGGAGGUAAAUUUCUUCUAAAGCUAAAUACUGGCCAGAGACCGAUAGCGCACAAGUAGAGUGAUCGAAAGAUGAAAAGCACUUUGGAAAGAGAGUCAAAAAGUACGUGAAAUUGUUGAAAGGGAAGCGCUUGCAACCAGACCUGCCUGCAGUUGCUCAUCCGGGCUUUUGCCCGGUGCACUCUUCUGCUGUCAGGCCAGCAUCAGUUCGGGCGGUCGGAUAAAGGUUUCGGGAAUGUAGCUCCUCUCGGGGAGUGUUAUAGCCCGUUGCGAAAUGCGGCCAGCCUGGACUGAGGUCCGCGCUUCGGCUAGGAUGCUGGCGUAAUGGUUGUAAGCGGCCCGUCUUGAAACACGGACCAAGGAGUCUAACAUCUGUGCGAGUGUUUGGGUGUCAAACCCGUACGCGUAAUGAAAGUGAACGGAGGCGGGAACCCCUCGGGGUGCACCGUCGACCGAUCCUGAUGUCUUCGGAUGGAUUUGAGUAAGAGCAUAGCUGUUGGGACCCGAAAGAUGGUGAACUAUGCCUGAAUAGGGUGAAGCCAGAGGAAACUCUGGUGGAGGCUCGCAGCGGUUCUGACGUGCAAAUCGAUCGUCAAAUUUGGGCAUAGGGGCGAA